AAUGAACGCUAGCGGCAGGCUUAAUACAUGCAAGUCGAGGGGCAGCAUGACUGUAGCAAUACAGUUGAUGGCGACCGGCAAGCGGGUGCGGAACACGUACAGAACCUUCCUUCGAGCGGGGAAUAGCCCAGAGAAAUUUGGAUUAAUACCCCAUAGUACAACGGAGUGGCAUCACUUUGUUGUUAAAGAUUUAUCACUUGAAGAUGGCUGUGCGGCUGAUUAGGUAGUUGGCGGGGUAACGGCCCACCAAGCCUGCGAUCAGUAACUGGUGUGAGAGCACGACCAGUCACACGGGCACUGAGACACGGGCCCGACUCCUACGGGAGGCAGCAGUAAGGAAUAUUGGUCAAUGGACGAAAGCCUGAACCAGCCAUGCCGCGUGGAGGAUGAAGGUCCUCUGGAUUGUAAACUUCUUUUAUAUGGGACGAAAAAAGGGUUUUCUAACUCGUCUGACGGUACCAUAUGAAUAAGCACCGGCUAACUCCGUGCCAGCAGCCGCCGUAA
rnacentral:rRNA from 1 species